rnacentral:rRNA from 1 species
GAUGAACGCUAGCGAUAGGCUUAACACAUGCAAGUCGAGGGGCAGCACAAGGUAGCUUGCUAUCUGGGUGGCGACCGGCGCACGGGUGCGUAACGCGUAUGCAACUUGCCCUAUACAGGAGGAUAACCCGUCGAAAGACGGACUAAUACUGCGUAUGCUCACAACUUGGCAUCAAGUGGUGAGGAAAGAAAUUCGGUAUAGGAUAGGCAUGCGUCCCAUUAGCUUGUUGGUAAGGUAACGGCUCACCAAGGCAACGAUGGGUAGGGGAACUGAGAGGUGUACCCCCCACACUGGUACUGAGACACGGACCAGACUCCUACGGGAGGCAGCAGUGAGGAAUAUUGGUCGAUGGGCGCGAGCCUGAACCAGCCAAGUCGCGUGAAGGAUGACUGUCUUAUGGAUUGUAAACUUCUUUUAUACGGGAAUAACAAGAGUCACGUGUGACUCCCUGCAUGUACCGUAUGAAUAAGCAUCGGCUAACUCCGUG